rnacentral:rRNA from 1 species
UAAUACGGAGGAUCCAAGCGUUAUCCGGAAUCAUUGGGUUUAAAGGGUCCGUAGGCGGUUUAAUAAGUCAGUGGUGAAAGCCCAUCGCUCAACGGUGGAACGGCCAUUGAUACUGUUAAACUUGAAUUAUUAGGAAGUAACUAGAAUAUGUAGUGUAGCGGUGAAAUGCUUAGAGAUUACAUGGAAUACCAAUUGCGAAGGCAGGUUACUACUAAUGGAUUGACGCUGAUGGACGAAAGCGUGGGUAGCGAACAGGAUUAGAUACCCUGGUAGUCCACGCCGUAAACGAUGGAUACUAGCUGUUGGGUGCAAACUCAGUGGCUAAGCGAAAGUGAUAAGUAUCCCACCUGGGGAGUACGUUCGCAAGAAUG